CACUACUAUUUUCACUGUAACAAUCAAUAAUCCUCUGUUUUCCAAAGACUACGGCAAAGGCUUUGUUGUAAGAGUAAUCAAAUCUAUAUUGGUUUCUGUAAUAAUAAUGCUCUGAUCGUGCUCUUCACGUUCUGUUCUUCUACUACUACUACUACUACUUGUUUUUCUUUCAUUGAGGCAUUUAUUCAAACAGUUCCAAAGAAUAACUCUUCUUACAGUAUUACUAGUAUCAGUUUAUUCUCUUUCAAUCCUACCCACUUCUUUAAUUUUAGUCAAUUUCAUUCUAUACAACUUUCUCAAACCCUAACUUUAAAACGUUUCCAUUUUUAAUUUAGUCUUUUUAUAGAAGUUUUGAUCACUUCUUGCCUUUGAAUCUGAAUAUCUACAUAUAUAUAUGUACCAGUGUACCACCUUCUUCUUUAUUGAUUUUGGGUAUUUGGGGAUUGAAAUUCAGUGAAAAAGACUCAAUUUAGCAGCAGAAGAAGAAGCCAUAUGUUUCAGAGUUCUGGCUUGUUAGUUUUGAAAUAAGCUGCUUUUAAACUCAUUUGGAUCAAGUAAGAAGCUUUAAAGUUUUUUUUUUUUU
rnacentral:lncRNA from 1 species